rnacentral:rRNA from 1 species
AAUUGGAGGGCAAGUCUGGUGCCAGCAGCCACAGUAAUUCCAUCUCCAAUAGCGUAUAUUAAAGUUGUUGCAGUUAAAAAGCUCGUAGUUGAAUUUCAGAAUCUGUCCGUCGGUCGGGCUUCACUGUCCAUACUGGUGUGAUGGGUUUCUACCUUUUGAAUAACUGGCAUGCCAUUAAUUUGAUGCGCCGGGGAAGCAGAACUAUUACCUUGAGAAAAUUAGAGUGCUUAAAGCAGGCUAUCGCCUGAAUAGAUUAGCAUGGAAUAAUAAAAUAGGACGGCAUGGUUCUAUUUUGUUGGUUUCUAGGAUCACCGUAAUGAUUAAUAGGGAUAGUUGGAGGCAUUAGUAUUCAAUUGUCAGAGGUGAAAUUCUUGGAUUUAUUGAAGAUUAACUUCUGCGAAAGCAUUUGCCAAGGAUGUUUUCAUUAAUCAAGAACGAAAGUUAGGAGAUCGAAGACGAUCAAAUACUGUCGUAGUCUUAACCAUAAACUAUGCCAACUAGGGAUCGGACGAUGCUAAUUUUUUAAUGAUUCGUUCGGCGCCUUACGGGAAACCCAAGUGU